CGCGCCGUCUGUAUAAAAGGCGAGCAGCGGCUAAGCCGGGGCGUGGCUCCGGCGGCUCCUCCAUUGCGCCUUGUUGCUGCUCCUGUCUGCACGUGAUCCUCCAGAACAAGACUAGAGGAAAUCCAGGGCAAACUGCUGGGAUACCUUCCAUCCUCUCCCAAUGUACCAGAAACGGGAUCGUCUGACAGUGCCCAAUGGGCUGGAGGCUGUGAGCAUCGAGAGCAGGGGCUGCCUGUCCACGCUGACCUUCUGCAGCAUCUCAAAGGACUAUGGCAACUCCAUGCGUAUGGCCAGGAGCAAGCUGGGCAUCACCAGUGCCAGCAGCAUCCUGUAGGGCAGGCACCCUGCUCCUUUUACAGCAAGGUGCAGCGAGGAGGAAGAGGAAGAAGGAGAGGAUGAAGAGGAGGUGAAUGGCCGGCCAGCAAUAGAAGGGAGUGGGUUUUCUUUAGCAAUGCCAGCCCAUGGAGGUGCAGAACGGCCGAGCUCUGAGCGCCGAGGAUGCAUCAGAGGAUGCUGAGGAGCUGUGCAUGGGCCCAUGCAGGAGGGCCCUGCUUGGUGGUGGUCAUGGUGCGUGUUUAGGGAUGAGCAGCGGACGGUGAAGAGACAGAUGGGACAUCGUUGGAACGCAGGCCCAAGGAGAGGCCCCGUGCAGGGACAGGUCGAGCACCCCGGGAUGGUCCCUGAAGAGAGCUGCGAUUCCAGAAGGGAUACGACGUUUGGGAUGGACUCUGGACAGGUAUAAGAACCCCCUCCCUCCCCCUAGCCCCUCCCCUCCAGAGCAGAGGGAAGGGGUUGGGGGGACGGAAGGGGUUAGGGGAG